CGGGGAAUUUUGGACAAUGGGCGCAAGCCUGAUCCAGCAAUGCCGCGUGCAGGAUGAAGGCCUUCGGGUUGUAAACUGCUUUUGUACGGAACGAAACGGCUCUGGUUAAUACCUGGGGCUAAUGACGGUACCGUAAGAAUAAGCACCGGCUAACUACGUGCCAGCAGCCGCGGUAAUACGUAGGGUGCGAGCGUUAAUCGGAAUUACUGGGCGUAAAGCGUGCGCAGUCGGUGAUGUAAGACAGAUGUGAAAUCCCCGGGCUCAACCUGGGACCUGCAUUUGUGACUGCAUCGCUGGAGUGCGGCAGAGGGGGAUGGAAUUCCGCGUGUAGCAGUGAAAUGCGUAGAUAUGCGGAGGAACACCGAUGGCGAAGGCAAUCCCCUGGGCCUGUACUGACGCUCAUGCACGAAAGCGUGGGGAGCAAACA
rnacentral:rRNA from 1 species